rnacentral:rRNA from 1 species
GGCGUGCCUAAUACAUGCAAGUCGAGCGGACAGAUGGGAGCUUGCUCCCUGAUGUUAGCGGCGGACGGGUGAGUAACACGUGGGUAACCUGCCUGUAAGACUGGGAUAACUCCGGGAAACCGGGGCUAAUACCGGAUGCUUGAUUGAACCGCAUGGUUCAAUUAUAAAAGGUGGCUUUUAGCUACCACUUACAGAUGGACCCGCGGCGCAUUAGCUAGUUGGUGAGGUAACGGCUCACCAAGGCAACGAUGCGUAGCCGACCUGAGAGGGUGAUCGGCCACACUGGGACUGAGACACGGCCCAGACUCCUACGGGAGGCAGCAGUAGGGAAUCUUCCGCAAUGGACGAAAGUCUGACGGAGCAACGCCGCGUGAGUGAUGAAGGUUUUCGGAUCGUAAAACUCUGUUGUUAGGGAAGAACAAGUACCGUUCGAAUAGGGCGGUACCUUGACGGUACCUAACCAGAAAGCCACGGCUAACUACGUGCCAGCAGCCGCGGUAAUACGUAGGUGGCAAGCGUUGUCCGGAAUUAUUGGGCGUAAAGCGCGCGCAGGCGGUUUCUUAAGUCUGAUGUGAAAGCCCCCGGCUCAACCGGGGAGGGUCAUUGGAAACUGGGGAACUUGAGUGCAGAAGAGGAGAGUGGAAUUCCACGUGUAGCGGUGAAAUGCCUANAGAUGUGGAGGAACACCAUUGGCNACGGGACUCUCUCCGCCUGUNUCUGACACUGAGGGGCGUAAAAGUGGGGAG